CAUCUCUGCGUCUCACUCACCGCGCACCGGCCACCAGCCGCGGCCCCGGGAUGCUCAGCCUGAAGCCACGUGGGGUCUGCGCUGUCCUUGGGGUUUCUACGGCACCACACCUUAAGGUGAAGAAACUGGGGCCCACGCGUAGCCAGUGGCAAGGCUGGGGCCUGGACCCACGGGCAUCUGGCUCUCAAGUCCACGGCUUCCUCUGCGGACCCCACCUGCAGCCAGACGACGGCGGACCUCCCCCCACAGGGUGAUUCCAGAGUCGGUUCAUUCAUCACCUGUAACAUCAUUAAGAACGUGGGUUCUCUCCAUCGUCCCCGGCACGUUGGCUGCAGGAGGCGGGCUCCCCGUAAGCUGCCUGCACCGUCCUGGCACCACACCCGCUGGCAGCAGCGCAGUGAAAUGGGAGGCACUGUCUCUUCCCACCCCCUGUGGUGUCCCUUCUCAGCAGCAAGGACAACCUUUUCCAGAGGCUUCCAGAAGACCCCCCCCAUGUCUCUCAAUCACAUGGUCUGGAACAUCUGUGUCUGAUCCCACUGCCGGGCAGCAGGGUGGGGCCUCCGUGACGGGUGCACUCACCCUGAGGGGCUGCCAUGUGCCCACUGACCCCCCCACCCACCCCCAGAGAGCUGCUGUGGACUUCUGGGAAGUAGGGGGUCGGGAGGGCACGGCAAGGGGCCGUUGGCCUACUGCAUGGGCAGGAGAGGAGAGGAAAGAGAGGCUCGUGGACACUAAGGCUCAUUAAUAUGGUCCAGGCCAGGGGUAGGGCCGUUAACAUAGGGAAGGGAGGGGGAGUUGAGAGGAGAGGUGGAGGAAGAGUUAGGUGGUUAGACAAGUGGGGGCACCGGGCGGACAGGUGGAGGGGAGGGAGGAGGGCCCAGGAGAUGGCGUUACGCCCACCUCCAGCUUAAAGGGGCUUUAUUUCCUCUCACUGGGCGCCAGCGAGAAGCUGGUGAGAACCCGACAGCUGCAAGUGCGCGGUAGCCGGAAGAAUCUGACUGGACACGACCCAGUGCUCAUUGUAAUAUGAUUAGCAUUGCGGUUUAGCCCCUCCCCGUGGGUCCUUCUGUGUGCAUCAUGGGUAAGGAUGUGUGCAGAAGGGGACAGGCAUGACUAAGACCCCCAGGGGCAAGAGCAGCCAGUCAGUCCGGAGGCCACCUCUAAGGAAGGGCGUGAGAGAAGGGGCAGAGGCCACUGCUGUCCGCCCCGGAGCAGCCCGCCUCCCGUUCUUGGAGGUGCCCUUGCCUUUGCUAAAUAAAACCUUCAAAAUCUUUCACUGGCAUCUCCUGUUUGAAUUCUCAUCUUUCGGGUAAGACAAGAACGGGGGUCCCUCCCCUUCCCCUUUUUGGGUAACAGAAGGAAGGCAACAGAAAAGCAAGUGGGUGAGACUGGCCCCCGAGCAAGAGCCGGGGGCAGCAUGGUCACUCAGCGCCCAAGAAAAGCGCUCUUCGGCGUG